GCCACCAGCUCCCUGGCAGAGCCCGGGCCCCAGCCUCUCCCACCCCCAGGGAACCCCACUUCACCACUUACUUUUCUUCCCUGCUGCCCAGGCAACUGUGGUGAACAGUGCCGUCUCCCUGGAAGACAGGGCACCAAUUCCUGUAGCUGCAAAGAAAGGGCAACAAGAGACUUUCAAGAUAGGAAGGAGGCAUCUGGCCUGCUGCAAGGGAACACGGAUGUCUCCUGAGAUACUGCAGGUCCAUCUGGCCUAAAGUGUCCACCAGGCUGAACUGUCUUAUACUCACCACCAUAAAAUCUGCUCUGACUCCGGCGGUAGCCUACUGAUUGGUCUCCUUGCUUCCAUGAAUGUCCUUCAAAAUAUAUUCUAUGCACAACCAGCCAGAAACACGGGAGGGUGAGAGAAUUCACCAGAGCCAGAGCGGGGAGCAGAGCAGGCAGAAGGACCGGAGUACACU